CCUACGGGGUGCUGCAGUGAGGAAUAUUUGUCAAUGGGCGGAAGCCUGAACCAGCCAAGUCGCGUGAGGGAAUAAGGCCCUACGGGUCGUAAACCUCUUUUGCCGGGGAGCAAGGGCCGGGACGAGUCCCGGUCCGGAGAGUACCCGGAGAAAAAGCAUCGGCUAACUCCGUGCCAGCAGCCGCGGUAAUACGGGGGAUGCGAGCGUUAUCCGGAUUUAUUGGGUUUAAAGGGUGCGUAGGGGGGCUUUUAAGUCAGCGGUAAAAAUUCGGGGCUCAACCCCGUCCGGCCGUUGAAACUGGGGGCCUUGAGUGGGCGAGAAGAAGGCAGAAUGCGGGGUGUAGCGGUGAAAUGCAUAGAUAUCACGCAGAACCCCGAUUGCGAAGGCAGCCUUCCGGCGCCCUACUGACGCUGAGGCACGAAAGUGCGGGGAUCGAACAGGAUUAGAUACCCGAGUAGUC
rnacentral:rRNA from 1 species